rnacentral:rRNA from 1 species
UACAGAGGGUGCAAGCGUUGUUCGGAAUUAUUGGGCGUAAAGCGCGUGUAGGCGGCUUUGCAAGUCGGGUGUGAAAGCCCUCAGCUCAACUGAGGAAGUGCGCCCGAAACUGCAGAGCUUGAGUGCCGGAGAGGGUGGCGGAAUUCCCCAAGUAGAGGUGAAAUUCGUAGAUAUCAGGAGGAACACCGGUGGCGAAGGCGGCCACCUGGACAGUUACUGACGCUGAGGUGCGAAAGCGUGGGGAGCAAACAGG